AUACGGAGGGUGCAAGCGUUAUUCGGAAUCACUGGGCGUAAAGGACGCGUAGGCGGGUUGGCAAGUCAGAUGUGAAAUCCUACAGCUUAACUGUAGAACUGCAUUUGAAACUGCUAACCUAGAGUAUGGGAGGGGGAGAUGGAAUUAGUGGUGUAGGGGUAAAAUCCGUAGAUAUCACUAGGAAUACCGAAAGCGAAGGCGAUCUCCUGGAACAUAACUGACGCUAAGGCGUGAAAGCGUGGGAAGCAAACAGGAUUAGAAACCCUAGUAGUCC
rnacentral:rRNA from 1 species